AACGAACGCUGGCGGCAUGCCUAACACAUGCAAGUCGAACGAGACCUUCGGGUCUAGUGGCGCACGGGUGCGUAACGCGGGGGAACCUGCCCUUAGGUUCGGAAUAACUCCCCGAAAGGGGUGCUAAUACCGGUUAAUGUCUCCGAACCAAAGAUUUCUCGCCUUUGGAUGGGCCUGCGUUUGAUUAGCCAGUUGGUAGGGUAAAAGCCUACCAAGGCGUCGAUCCAUAGCUGGUCGGAGAGGGUGAUCAGCCACACUGGGACUAAGACCCGGCCCAGACUCCUACGGGAGGCAGCAGUGCGGGAUAUUGGACAAUGGGCUGAAGCCUGAUCCAGCACUGCCGCGUGAGUGAUGAAGGCCUUAGAGUUGUAAAGCUCUUUUACCCGGGAUGAUAAUGACAGUACCGGGAGAAUAAGCUCCGGCUAACUCCGUG
rnacentral:rRNA from 1 species